GUCCUAGCCGUAAACGGUGCACGUUUGCUGUAAAAGGAAUCGACCCCUUUUGUGGCGAAGCUAACGCGUUAAACGUGCCGCCUGGGAAGUACGGUCGCAAGAUUAAAACUCAAAGAAAUUGACGGGGGCCUGCACAAGCGGUGGAGUAUGUGGCUUAAUUCGAUGCAACGCGAAGAACCUUACCUGGCCUUGACAUGUAUCUAGUAGAAGGGUGAAAGCCUGACGAGAUAGCAAUAUCAGGAUACACAGGUGCUGCAUGGCUGUCGU
rnacentral:rRNA from 1 species